UUCUACAGGCUUAACACAUGCAAGUCGAGGGGCAGCAUGGUCUUAGCUUGCUAAGGCCGAUGGCGACCGGCGCACGGGUGAGUAACACGUAUCCAACCUGCCGUCUACUCUUGGACAGCCUUCUGAAAGGAAGAUUAAUACAAGAUGGCAUCAUGAGUCCGCAUGUUCACAUGAUUAAAGGUAUUCCGGUAGACGAUGGGGAUGCGUUCCAUUAGAUAGUAGGCGGGGUAACGGCCCACCUAGUCUUCGAUGGAUAGGGGUUCUGAGAGGAAGGUCCCCCACAUUGGAACUGAGACACGGUCCAAACUCCUACGGGAGGCAGCAGUGAGGAAUAUUGGUCAAUGGGCGAGAGCCUGAACCAGCCAAGUAGCGUGAAGGAUGACUGCCCUAUGGGUUGUAAACUUCUUUUAUAAAGGAAUAAAGUCGGGUAUGCAUACCCGUUUGCAUGUACUUUAUGAAUAAGGAUCGGCUAACUCCGUGCCAGCAGCCGCGGUAAUACGGAGGAUCCGAGCGUUAUCCGGAUUUAUUGGGUUUAAAGGGAGCGUAGAUGGAUGUUUAAGUCAGUUGUGAAAGUUUGCGGCUCAACCGUAAAAUUGCAGUUGAUACUGGAUAUCUUGAGUGCAGUUGAGGCAGGCGGAAUUCGUGGUGUAGCGGUGAAAUGCUUAGAUAUCACGAAGAACUCCGAUUGCGAAGGCAGCCUGCUAAGCUGCAACUGACAUUGAGGCUCGAAAGUGUGGGGUAUCAAACAGGAUUAGAUACCCUGGUAGUCCACACGGUAAACGAUGAAUACUCGCUGUUUGCGAUAUACGGCAAGCGGCCAAGCGAAAGCGUUAAGUAUUCCACCUGGGGAGUACGCCGGCAACGGUGAAACUCAAAGGAAUUGACGGGGGCCCGCACAAGCGGAGGAACAUGUGGUUUAAUUCGAUGAUACGCGAGGAACCUUACCCGGGCUUAAAUUGCAGAUGAAUUACGGUGAAAGCCGUAAGCCGCAAGGCAUCUGUGAAGGUGCUGCAUGGUUGUCGUCAGCUCGUGCCGUGAGGUGUCGGCUUAAGUGCCAUAACGAGCGCAACCCUUGUUGUCAGUUACUAACAGGUUCCGCUGAGGACUCUGACAAGACUGCCAUCGUAAGAUGUGAGGAAGGUGGGGAUGACGUCAAAUCAGCACGGCCCUUACGUCCGGGGCUACACACGUGUUACAAUGGGGGGUACAGAGGGCCGCUACCACGCGAGUGGAUGCCAAUCCCCAAAACCUCUCUCAGUUCGGACUGGAGUCUGCAACCCGACUCCACGAAGCUGGAUUCGCUAGUAAUCGCGCAUCAGCCACGGCGCGGUGAAUACGUUCCCGGGCCUUGUACACACCGCCCGUCAAGCCAUGGGAGCCGGGGGUACCUGAAGUGCGUAACCGCGAGGAGCGCCCUAGGGUAAAACUGGUGACUGG
rnacentral:rRNA from 1 species